rnacentral:rRNA from 1 species
AACGUAGGUGGCAAGCGUUGUCCGGAAUUACUGGGUGUAAAGCGCACGCAGGCGGUUUGUUAAGUCAGAUGUGAAAUCCCCGGGCUCAACCUGGGAACUGCAUCUGAUACUGGCAAGCUUGAGUCUCGUAGAGGGGGGUAGAAUUCCAGGUGUAGCGGUGAAAUGCGUAGAGAUCUGGAGGAAUACCGGUGGCGAAGGCGGCCCCCUGGACAAAGACUGACGCUCAGGUGCGAAAGCGUGGGGAGCAAACAGG